AUUGAACGCUGGCGGCAGGCCUAACACAUGCAAGUCGAACGGUAACAGGAAGCAGCUUGCUGCUUCGCUGACGAGUGGCGGACGGGUGAGUAAUGUCUGGGAAACUGCCUGAUGGAGGGGGAUAACUACUGGAAACGGUAGCUAAUACCGCAUAACGUCGCAAGACCAAAGAGGGGGACCUUAGGGCCUCUUGCCAUCGGAUGUGCCCAGAUGGGAUUAGCUAGUAGGUGGGGUAACGGCUCACCUAGGCGACGAUCCCUAGCUGGUCUGAGAGGAUGACCAGCCACACUGGAACUGAGACACGGUCCAGACUCCUACGGGAGGCAGCAGUGGGGAAUAUUGCACAAUGGGCGCAAGCCUGAUGCAGCCAUGCCGCGUGUAUGAAGAAGGCCUUCGGGUUGUAAAGUACUUUCAGCGGGGAGGAAGGGAGUAAAGUUAACACCUUUGCUCAUUGACGUUACCCGCAGAAGAAGCACCGGCUAACUCCGUG
rnacentral:rRNA from 1 species